UGGGGGAUCGUCUAACGGUAGGACACGGGACUCUGGAUCCCGGAGUAUAGGUUCGAAUCCUAUUCCCCCAG
rnacentral:tRNA from 2 species